UUGCAAAAGAAGUAGGUAGCUUAACCUUCGGGAGGGCGCUUACCACUUUGUGAUUCAUGACUGGGGUGAAGUCGUAACAAGGUAACCGUAGGGGAACCUGCGGUUGGAUCACCUCCUUA
rnacentral:rRNA from 1 species